rnacentral:lncRNA from 10 species
CGGGACCCUGAGCAAUGCUGAGUGCCCCUGAGUCAUGUUCUAAUGGAUGGAGGCAGAACCAGUCGUCCUGGUUGGGAGAUUUUCUCUGGCAACAACAGCUAUGUGGAGAAGGCAAAUGGCUGCGUCCAUUCAAGAUUAGGAACAUAAGCCCUGCCCAAAUGGGGAGAACCACCUGCUGUCAAGAGUCAGCCAGCUGCAGUAUCAGCCCCUGAAGAGGACGAGCUAGCAGUGCUGAUGUCAGGGAACUUUCCACUCCUCAAACCGACAGGAACAGGACCGUGAGCACAAAACGUGAACACGGACCAGAACGAGUUGGCAUGCAGGACUAGGUUGCCUUGACGACUCUGAGUUCUGACAGGGAAAUACAAUGAGUUUUAUGUGGACAGAGUUCCACGGUCUAUUGCAAAAUCAAUGUGCUGUUUGAAUGAAUCAUCACUUCCAACCAUUGGUCAUUGGUGUCUGAAUCUUGAUUGCAGAUGAAGCACUGAGUCAUGACUGUAAAAUGCCACAGUAUUUAUGAAAACCAAGAAGGUUUUUUAUUUAUCCUGACUAGCUAAAUCAAGGUAGGUCAUCCUAAUAAUACUUGUCCACACAAGUGGCAACCCCUUGCCAAAGAAAUGCAAACAGAAGCCUGGGAUGUUUCCAGCUCUCCUUAACUUCCUUCCCCGACCUCCCUGACACCAGCCAAUGGGUCCUUUAAGAAGUGUGAGAGAGCCAGUAGAUGGUAGGCCCCCGCUUCAAACUCGCCAUCUUGUCCCUUGAUCCAGUGACUAUACCUGGAAUUUGGCCUCUAAGCGAGUGUUUCUUUUUGCACUUGGACUUCUUGAGAGAUUACUCAUUACUCAGGAGAUAACACCAAAGCAUUCUCAAAACCAAUCUUUGGAACUGGCUUCCAGGAUUAUACAUGCAGGAUUAGUCAUACAGAAAAUCCUUAAAGAUAGCAAAUUUGGGUCCUUUGAGAGUGUAUUUGGUUUGUGAAAACAAAGCCAUUGGUAACCAAGCCAAAAGCAAACAUGUGAUUCUAACCCAUGAAUUCAGAAUUUUUCAGGCAGCUGACCCUAAAGACACUUUUUUCAAACAGGUGACUCCUUUUCAUUAAUUCAUUAAUCAGUUGUUGAGAUAGUGAAAGAAAAAAGAAACUGAAAGAAAUCAUCAUUACCAGAAAUACUUGGGUUCAAAUUCUAGCUCUAAAACUUCUUAGCUGUGUAACUUUG